UACGAAGGGGGCUAGCGUUGCUCGGAAUCACUGGGCGUAAAGCGCACGUAGGCGGCUUUCUAAGUCAGGGGUGAAAUCCUGGAGCUCAACUCCAGAACUGCCUUUGAUACUGGAGAGCUUGAGUCCGGGAGAGGUGAGUGGAACUCCGAGUGUAGAGGUGAAAUUCGUAGAUAUUCGGAAGAACACCAGUGGCGAAGGCGGCUCACUGGUCCGGUACUGACGCUGAGGUACGAAAGCGUGGGGAGCAAACAGG
rnacentral:rRNA from 1 species